rnacentral:tRNA from 1 species
GGAGGAGUGCCAGAGCGGUCGAAUGGGCUGGUUUCGAAAACCAGUAUAUCCGAAAGGGUAUCGUGAGUUCGAAUCUCACCUCCUCCG